AGUGCAGAGGGCACCGCCCAGGCCCGCACUGGUCCCACGGGGCGUCCUCCCUAAGUGGUUUUUAUGCCCAGGCUUCCAGGAGCCCUGUGUCUGAGCCGCUGAUUCCUGAGAAAGCAGUUCAGAUUAUCCCUUGAAGACAGAUUUCUUGAUGUGAACAAGCCACUAUAGAUUGAUUAUAAGCAUUUUUAGUCCAUCCUCCUGCUUAUUCAAGCCCACAAUUGAGAAAGAAGGUCGAAUUCCAGAAUUUCAUAUUUUCCAGAAAAUGCUUUGUGAAUAAUUAAAUUGGAUUCAAGCAAGGAAAACUGAAGUUAUUUAUAAAAACAUGGAAUCGUGGCCUGGCUGGUGUGACUCAGUUGGAAGGAGCAUCGUCCUGUACACCAAAAGUUGGUGGGUUCAAUUCCUGGUCAGGGCACAUACCUAGGUUGUGAGU